AUUGAACGCUGGCGGCAUGCCUAACACAUGCAAGUCGAGCGGAUGAAGGGAGCUUUCUCCUGGAUUCAGCGGCGGACGGGUGAGUAAUGCCCAGGAAUCUGCCUGGUAGUGGGGGAUAACGUCCGGAAACGGGCGCUAAUACCGCAUACGUCCUGAGGGAGAAAGUGGGGGAUCUUCGGACCUCACGCUAUCAGAUGAGCCUAGGUCGGAUUAGCUAGUUGGUGGGGUAAAGGCCUACCAAGGCGACGAUCCGUAACUGGUCUGAGAGGAUGAUCAGUCACACUGGAACUGAGACACGGUCCAGACUCCUACGGGAGGCAGCAGUGGGGAAUAUUGGGCAAUGGGCGAAAGCCUGAUCCAGCCAUGCCGCGUGUGUGAAGAAGGUCUUCGGAUUGUAAAGCACUUUAAGUUGGGAGGAAGGGCAGUAAGUUAAUACCUUGCUGUUUUGACGUUACCAACAGAAUAAGCACCGGCUAACUUCGUG
rnacentral:rRNA from 1 species